ACUUAGGUUUCAAUCUUUGAUCUUCCUCACUGGUCUUCCCUCUCGUUUCUUCUUUUCUUCAUUUCUUCUUUUAACUCCCCCUUCUCACCCGGGGAAUUUCAGGGGAAACCGCCGCUCUUGAGGCAGGUAGAGGUGACCGGAACGUGUGGUGGAGCGGUGAAAUGCGUAGAUAUCACACGGAACGCCGGUGGUGAAAACGGGUCACUGGGCCUGUCCUGACGCUGAGACGCGAGAGCGUGGGGAGCAAACAG
rnacentral:rRNA from 1 species